rnacentral:rRNA from 1 species
AACGAACGCUGGCGGCAGGCCUAACACAUGCAAGUCGAGCGAGGACUUCGGUCCUAGCGGCGGACGGGUGAGUAACGCGUGGGAACGUGCCCUUUGCUUCGGAAUAGCCCUGGGAAACUGGGAGUAAUACCGGAUGAGCCCUUUGGGGGAAAGAUUUAUCGGCGAAGGAUCGGCCCGCGUUGGAUUAGGUAGUUGGUGGGGUAAUGGCCUACCAAGCCGACGUUCCAUAGCUGGUUUGAUAGGAUGAUCAGCCACACUGGGACUGAGACACGGCCCAGACUCGUACGGGAGGCAGCAGUGGGGAAUCUUAGACAAUGGGGGAAACCCUGAUCUAGCCAUGCCGCGUGAGCGAUGAAGGCCUUAGGGUUGUAAAGCUCUUUCAGCUGGGAAGAUAAUGACGGUACCAGCAGAAGAAGCCCCGGCUAACUCCGUG